AUGCACCUCGCAAACCUCAUCCUCACCUUCUGCCUGGGCCAGCUCCUCGGCACCACGGCGCAGAUCACAGUCACCCAGGAAGAUGGAGCAGUCACAGUCAAGCAGGGACACCCCUUCCACACCACCUGCAAAUACCAGAGCAGUUAUUUCAAUGGCUUGCUCUGGUACCAGCUGCAGAAAGGCCAAGCCCCACGGCUGCUCUCCUAUCAGUCAGGGACUGGCCCCAGGCACAGCGGCCGUUUCACCACGCACCUGAACACCACGGGCAAAUCCAGUGUCCUGCAGCUGGAGCACGUGGAGCUCUCUGACACUGCCUUCUGUCCCUUGUCCCUGGCCACGGCAAAGGUCCUGGUGUGGCUCGUGGCGCUGGUGGCGUGA